GACGAACGCUGGCGGCGUGCUUAACACAUGCAAGUCGAACGGAACGGCCCUGCUUAUGUGGGGUGCUCGAGUGGCGAACGGGUGAGUAACACGUGAGUAACCAGUCAUUGACCUUGGGAUAACUUAAGGAAACUGGGGCUCAUACCGGAUAGGAGUUCUUGCUGCAUGGUGGGGGUUGGAAAGUUUCGGCGGUUGGGGAUGGAAUCGCGGCUUAUCAGCUUGUUGGUGUGGUAGUGGCUUACCAUGGCUUUGACGGGUAGCCUGCCUGAUAGGGUGACCGGCCACAUUAGAACUGGGAUGCGGCCCAGACUCCUACGGGAGGCAGCAGUGGGGUAUAGUGCACAAUGGGCUGAGGCCUGAUGCGGCAACGCCGCGUGCGGUAUGACGGCCUUCGGGUUGUAAACCGCUUUCGCCUGUGACGAAGCGAGAGUGACGGUAAUGGGUAAAGAAGCACCGGCUAACUACGUG
rnacentral:rRNA from 1 species